GAUGAACGCUAGCGAUAGGCUUAACACAUGCAAGUCGAGGGGCAGCACAAGGUAGCUUGCUAUCUGGGUGGCGACCGUCGCACGGGUGCGUAACGCGUAUGCAACUUGCCCUAUACAGGAGGAUAACCCGUCGAAAGACGGACUAAUACUGCGUAUGCUCACAACUUGGCAUCAAGUGGUGAGGAAAGAAAUUCGGUAUAGGAUAGGCAUGCGUCCCAUUAGCUUGUUGGUUAGGUAACUGCUCACCAAGGCAACGAUGGGUAGGGGAACUGAGAGGUUUUAACACGACAAUGGUACUGAGACACGGAACAGACUCCUACGGGAGGCAGCAGUGAGGAAGAUUGGUCAAGGGGGGAGAGCAUGAACCAGCCAAGUCGCGUGAAGGAUGACUGUCUUAUGGAUUGUAAACUUCUUUUAUACGGGAAUAACAAGAGUAACGGGUGACUACAUGAAUGUACCGAAUGAAUAAGCAUCGGCUAACUCCGUG
rnacentral:rRNA from 1 species